UUAUAGGAAAAUAUCAAUUAACGAUCUGUACAAAAAUCGAAUGGGUCCAAGUUUUCAUCCUACUAGAAUUGUGUGAUAAUAACCUUUCUUUUAAUUGAAAGGUCUACUCCUAAAAAAACUCGUAUAAACAAGCUAGCUCGAAACCGGGUCGAAUGGGUCAUCCAAUUUAAUUGGAUGGACUUUUGGUGUGGAUACAAAACCAACAAAGCCCUUUAAUAAGAUUUGGGCCUCGAGCCUUCAAGCUAAGAUUCAACUUCCCGGGCCUGGUUUGGAAAGGCAGAGAGAGAAGCUAAAAAUGAAAAAGAACGCAGUUGUCACCCACGUGACAGACGGGAAUACUUACCACUAUACUACAACGAUCUUAUUCUUUUAUAAUUUAGAUUUUAUUGUUUUGCUUACUUCAUUAUGGAAUGGGCUGGCACUUCUAUAUCAUGCAAAGAUCGCAUCAGAAGUGGAAGUAUCUAUAUCGUGCUCGGCUGUCCUUUCGAGAUAUAUUUUCAACUUCGACCGUUCCACCUUAAUCCAACAUUAGGAGAUUGCUUGUAUGUAAAUCUAACCAUUCGCCAUCAAUAGCUAGCCCAAACCGCACAUGCACUAUUCAGUACCGAAUAAACAGCCGAACUGUAGCAUCCCUCGAAGCAACCGGUCCGAGGUAGCUACCAGCUAGGCUUCCCUUGAUCAAGCAACUGAAGAUUGAUUGCGAUGUCAAAUAUGAGGUUAAUGCUGCUGUUAUUUCAAAGACUGAACUCUCAGUACGAACAGUUGGCAGCACAUCAGACUCUCCACAGAACCUAAGCAAAACCAGUUACUCACAAAGACUGACAUCUUCAUUUAUUAUCUUUAUAUCCACCAAAAAAAACAAGAAACAAAACACUACAAACUUUUCACAAGGCAAACCAAACAUAAUAUAACAAGACUGAAAAUUUCAAGCCCAAGCAGCUUCUCUACCACCUCCUCUGCUAUUUACAAACCCAACAUCCCCCAUCUUCUUCGACCCCGAAGUCACCGGCU
rnacentral:lncRNA from 1 species